CACACACACACUCAUGCACAGUACAUGCGACAUCAGAGCUGACACACAGCGGAGAGAGAAGGCGCGGAAACAGAAACAAAAACAUUUCCGCGGCCAAAAGACACACCAUACAGGAUGACAUGGCUUCGGUGAAGACGUAAAGGUUGUCGGCAAAGCCUUGGCCUUGCCGGUAGACUAAUCUGCAGUCGUUCCUGGCCGCAGCCUUCCCUCACGUGGCCAAGCCGAGCCCAGUGCACUGCGCAUCGCUGCAUGAUGCUGCGGCUGCGAAAACAACGAAUUAAACAAAUGGCUACACCCAGGAGGUCGGGUCUUCUGAACACCCUGGAGGUCGGCUCUUCUGAACACCCUGGAGGUCGGGUCUUCUGAACACCCUGGAGGUGGGUCUUCUGAACACCCUGGAGGUGGGUCUUCUGAACACCCUGGAGGUCGGCUCUUCUGAACACCCAGGUGUUUGGCUCUUCUGAACACCCUGUAGUUUUGGCCUGUUUUACAGUGUAUGGAGAAUUGACAAAAUUAAUUAAAGCUUAAC
ensembl:lncRNA